CUUCAGUUGGGAUCCUAUUUCUUCGUGAGUAAGCUGCACUUGUGGAUUUAGCAGAGAAAGACCACAAGGGUGAGGUCUGUGGGUACAGACACCGUCUGGUGCACUUCUGCAACUCCUUUGAAAUUUGCCGACGACCUGUGCUGCUGCAGUAGGUGCUGGCGGGACCAAGCUAGGAGCAACCCUGCAUUGGUGGACAGAGAGAUGCAGGCGCUCCCAGAGCUGCUUAAAAUACAAGCACAUCAGCACCCGCUGAGACCCGGAUGAGGAGCUAAUCCACAAUCCCCGCUCCCCACCUGGAGACUCAGGAACUGGAAGCGUGCAGACCAGCCAGCUACGGUUAACAAGCCCUGGGGGGGCCCUGUGUGCGCGGAAAGGAUGGAGGGGCACUGGGCUGGGGCUCCCAGACACUGCUGAACAUUAGCCUGCUGGUAGUGGGCGAGGGUGCAGCUCAGUGGUAGAGUGUGUGCUGAGCAUGAGAACAGGCCUGACAUCAAAACUAAUUAAUUAAAAGCCCAAAGAAUCACCCAGGGUAUUUGUAAAAAUUCUAGUCACCCACACUAAUGCAGAACAAUGAUAUCGGGCUUUCUAGAUUAGAAACCCGGAGACUGGCAUUUUCAACAGCUUCUUAAAUGAUUCCACUGUGCAGCCCAAGCUGAGAAUGGGCGCGUGGAAGGAAGCGCGGUCAGUAUUUUUCACGGUAAUUCCCUGCCUCUGCAAAAUAACGCAAAGCUACUUGGAGUGAUUUCUAACAAACUUUCCAAAUACAUCAUCGUUUGGAAUGAUAACAAACAAGAAAAAUGACAAUUUAUCAGUUUUUAAAAUUUUUUUAAGUGAGUUAAUAAAAGUCUCCCAGGGGUGAUAAACACCCCAACACAAAUUCUGUGCCCAUCACAAUCUCAGUCCUUUGAACAAAGGAAUAAAUCGAUACCACCACAA